UUAUAAAUAGUAUAAUAAAAUACUUUUAGUUUCGACCUAAAAAAUGAAAUAAAUCUUUAUUAU
rnacentral:tRNA from 1 species